GAUGAACGCUGGCGGCGUGCCUAAUACAUGCAAGUCGAGCGAACAGACGAGGAGCUUGCUCCUCUGACGUUAGCGGCGGACGGGUGAGUAACACGUGGAUAACCUACCUAUAAGACUCGGAUAACUUCGGGAAACCGGAGCUAAUACCGGAUAAUAUAUUGAACCGCAUGGUUCAAUAGUGAAAGACGGUUUUGCUGUCACUUAUAGAUGGAUCCGCGCCGCAUUAGCUAGUUGGUAAGGUAACGGCUUACCAAGGCAACGAUGCGUAGCCGACCUGAGAGGGUGAUCGGCCACCCUGGAACUGGGCCACGGUCCAGGCUCCUACGGGAGGCCGCAGUAGGGAAUCUUCCGCAAUGGGCGAAAGCCUGGCGGAGCAACGCCGCGUGAGUGAUGAAGGUCUUCGGAUCGUAAAACUCUGUUAUUAGGGAAGAACAAAUGUGUAAGUAACUAUGCACGUCUUGACGGUACCUAAUCAGAAAGCCACGGCUAACUACGUG
rnacentral:rRNA from 1 species